GAUGAAGAACGUAGCAAAAUGCGAUACUUGGUGUGAAUUGCAGAUUCCCGUGAACCAUCGAGUCUUUGAACGCAAGUUGCGCCCGAAGCCAUUAGGCCGAGGGCACGCCUGCCUGGGCGUCACACGUCGUUGCCCCCCCAUCUACUCCUUCGGGAUUGCGGGGGGCGGAUGAUGGCCUCCCGUGCGCCUCGUCGCGCGGUUGGCAUAAAUGCCAAGUCCUCGGCGACGCACGCCACGACAAUCGGUGGUUGCGAAACCUCGGUUGCCCGUCGUGUGCGGUCGUCGCGCAUCGAGGGCUCGAAAAAAUUGCCGGGCUCCGGCUCGGCUUUCAACGCGACCCCAGGUCAGGCGGGGUUACCCGCUGAAUUUAAGCAUAUCAAUAAGCGGAGGA
rnacentral:misc_RNA from 1 species